GGGCCGGGUGAUCGCAGCCUCAGGGCUGAGGAAAGUCCGGACUCCACAGAGCAGGGUGGUGGGUAACGCCCACCCGGGGUGACCCGCGGGACAGUGCCACAGAGAACAGACCGCCCCGCCUCGUGCGGGGUAAGGGUGAAACGGUGGUGUAAGAGACCACCAGCACCCCAGGUGACUGGGGUGGCUUGGUAAACCCCACCCGGAGCAAGGCCAAGAAGGGCCCUCGGGCCUGCGGACGCCGUCCGAGCGCUGCUCGCGCGAGGCGUCCGGGUAGGUCGCACGCCGGCAACGGCGAAGGCGGUUGGCAACAACCGUCGCAGAUGGAUGAUCACCGGUCCCCUCGGGGAUCACAGAAUCCGGCUUACAGGCCCGG
rnacentral:RNase_P_RNA from 1 species